UAUAUGGACCAUCCAUGAAAGAACACUUGCAGUCCGUUCAAGACAGUACACUGAAAAUGGGCAAAUUGAGCUUUUGAAUGAUUGGAAAAGAGUUUUUAACCGUCCUACUGUAGUCGUCUUCCCAAACCCUGUCCUGCCGAUGAUGUACUCUGCAUUUGAUGCUGGAAACUAUUAUGUAAUUCCGGGUUCUCCUGCUCAAGCAUGGGAAGCAGAUGAUGUGGUGGCAUUGUACAAAGAUAAUGUGCGUCUGAAAAUGGGUUAUGGACCUGAUGAUGUUGUCAUUACAAUUGUAGGAAGUCAAUUUCUAUACAGGGGUUUGUGGCUGGAGCAUGCACUCAUUUUGCAGGCUUUGUUACCACUUUUUUCUGACAUCCCAUUCGGUUAUAAUUCAAAUUUUCAUCUCAAAAUCAUUGUCUUAAGUGGCAAUUCAAGCAGUAAUUACAGUGUGGCUGUUGAGGCAAUUGCUGUUAACUUGCAUUAUCCAAGAGGUGCUGUAAAGCACAUAGCUAUUGAUGGGGAUGCAGGCAGUAUGCUAAAUGCAGCUGAUAUUGUGGUAUAUGGGUCCUUCCAUGAGGAACAAUCUUUUCCAGAAAUUUUGAUAAAAGCCAUGUGCAUUGGAAAACCCAUCAUAGCCCCAGAUCUCCACAUGAUUAGGAAAUAUGUUGAUGACAGGGUGAAUGGCUUUCUUUUCCCUAAGGAGAAUAUCAGGGUUCUAACACAGAUUGUAUUGCAAGUGAUUUCAAAUGGAAAAUUAUCACCUUUAGCUCGCAAUAUUGCUUCAGUAGGAAAGGGUACUGCUAAAAACCUGAUGGUUGCAGAAACUGUUGAAGGUUAUGCUUCUCUGCUUGAAAAAGUUAUCAGCUUCCCUUCAGAAGUUGCUCUUCCUAAAGCUUUUGUGCAAAUUCCUGCCAAAUUGAAAGAAGAAUGGUGCUGGCAUCGAUUUGGAGCAUUUCUAAAUUUGACAUAUGAAGACAGAACUUUGAGAAGUUCCGGAUUCUUAGUCAAGGUCGAGGAGCAGUGGAACCAUACACAAAGAGAGAGCUCUGGUUCUAUAACUUCUAAUGACGAAUCAUUCUCAUAUGAAAUUUGGAAAGAAGAGAAAGACAAUCAGAUCUUUAAUGCAAGAAAGAGAAGAGAGGAAGAAGAGCUAAAAGAUCGAAGUGAUCAACCUCAUGGUACAUGGGAGGAAGUAUAUCGAGGUGCCAAAAGGGCUGAUAGAACUAGAAAUGAUUUACAUGAAAGGGAUGAAGGGGAACUUGAGAGGACAGGUCAGCCAUUGUGCAUUUAUGAACCAUACUUUGGGGAAGGAACCUGGUCUUUUCUUCACCUUAGUUCACUGUAUCGUGGAAUAGGGUUGGUGAGUUUGCUUCCUUUUAUCUUUAUUUCUAACCAGCUGUCUACAUUACUUUUAUUUUGUGGGAGAUGUAUGCUGGACAAUUCAUUUGCCAUUUAGUUAAUUUCUUGACUUCAAUGUUCCUUAUAUUGAUUAACCUGUGGGAGAUGAUUUUGGUUUGUCAAUAUUUGCUCCUCAUCUUAUCUUCUUCUUCUUAUUCUCCUUCUUCUUCUUGUAUUUAAGGAACUCAUAUAUUAUUAAUUUCUUAUGCAAUUCUAACUCAGUCUCUUGUAAUGUGUCUUCUAUUCUAACGUGUAUCUUUAGCUAUAUGAUUUUGAUAUACUGAAUAUGGUUGCAGUCCACAAAAGGUAGAAGACCUAGGACUGAUGAUGUUGAUGGACCCUCUCGUCUACCACUUCUUAAUAAUCCAUAUUAUAGGGAUACCCUUGGUGAAUAUGGAGCUUUUUUUGCAAUUGCAAAUCGAAUUGACCGUAUUCACAAGAAUGCUUGGGUAGGGUUUCAAUCUUGGAGGGCAACAGCAAGGAAGGUAGAGUGUUACUCUCUGUAUUUUUUGUCUCUCUCUUUUUGAAACUAGUUGUCUGUUCUACAUUUUGCGUCAUUCAGAUUGAAUUAUCAGAACUGGUCAUAUCAGGCCUAAAUUCAAAAACGUCUGGCAGCUUCUGGACAAUUUCGCCAAGCACUGAGACCAUGAAGCAUUAGGGUUACAUGCAAUGCAACAAUUUUAUGAUACAAUUUGCAUUGGAUCUCAGUUAUUAAUUUCCUUUUAACAUCACCUUUAUUAUGAGCGAGCAGUUCUGAUGUGGACAAAUACAUUGUUUAUGGGUGUUACAGAUUUUAUAUAGAUGAAAUGAAAUUGAAAAUAGCUAAAUUAGUAAAAGAAAAUCUUGAAUCUGCACCUUUAUAUAUUUUCCAGUAUUAUUGGGUCUGGAAUGCAAGGAAAUGCAUCAGACCUCCAUUUUAUACCUGAUUUCUUGCCUUUCACACUUCCUUUUUUAAUUGUUGGGUAUAAGCAGGCAUCUUUAUCUCGGACUGCUGAAAAGGCAUUAUUAGAUGCUAUUCAAACACGAAGGCAUGGGGAUACACUCUACUUUUGGGUUCGCAUGGACAUGGAUCCAAGAAAUCCGUUGCAGCAAGAUUUUUGGUCAUUUUGCGAUGCUAUUAAUGCUGGAAAUUGCAAGUAAGAACUUUGCAGCCAGUUGCAAAUUUUGUUAUGAAAAUCUGACCUGUUGUGCUCAAAUUGCCAUAUUUCUCCUUUUUCAUUUAGAAUUUCAGCUGAUUUCUCCUUCUAAUGGCUGAUUGAAGGUCAGCAUUUUCUGAGGCAUUUAGGAGUAUGUAUGGUGUUGGGCAAGAUUUGGAUUAUUUACCACCUAUGCCUGAUGAUGGGGAUACAUGGUCAGUCAUGCUGAGUUGGGCUUUGCCAACGAGGUCCUUCCUAGAGUUUGUGAUGUUUUCAAGGUGUAAUAAAUUAUUGUUGGCUUGCUAACUUAGAAUUCAAACUUUGUCCAUUCUUGUGAGGGUUUUAUCAGAAAUUUUAUCGAAGUAUUAAGCUUGAACUGUGGUGGAUGCAGAAUGUUUGUAGAUGCAUUGGAUGCACAAAUGUAUGAGGAGCACCAUCAGAGUGGUCAUUGUUAUCUGAGUUUAUCGAAGGUAACUUUUUUUUUUCUCUAGAUGAUCAGGUUUGCGUCUUACCGGAAAUAGUCUUCUGUCCUUUUUGGAAUUUGUUUGUGAACUCAUGAGUGGAGAUCAAGAGAGUUGAUCCAAUGGUUCUUUCCAGCCUAAUAUAAUAGACCUUAGGUUCACACAACCAAAAAAGCAGAUCUUAGUUUCAAAUUAUGCUCAAGUUGACUUUAGAAAAUUUUUUGAUAAAUAGACUUGGCUUGUAAUCAAGUGGAUUCAUGACGAUUAUCAUUCACAUGAAAAUGCCAAUGAAAACAUCAAAUUACAUAUUAAACAAAAAUGAAUUAAUACCUUCCACCAAAAUAGAUUUUGUGGGCUACCAUUGCAGGAGUAAAUUAUGGUUAAGAAUUUAUUUUCUUUUACUUUCCAAAUGAUCCUUAAAAUGAACAUUGCUGGUUAUAGGUUUAGCUGUGUUGGAUUUUGGAUUUGCAGGAUAAGCAUUGCUACUCACGAGCCCUUGAGCUGCUGAUAAAUGUCUGGGCAUACCACAGUGCAAGGCAGAUGGUGUAUGUAAACCCUGAGACUGGCUUGAUGCAAGAGCAGCACAAAAUGAAGAGCAGGAGAGGCAAAAUGUGGGUUAAAUGGUUCUCGUACGCCACCCUAAAGAGCAUGGAUGAAGACUUAGCUGAGGAGGCAGAUUCUGACCACCCUAAGAAAAGGUGGUUAUGGCCAUCAACAGGAGAGGUAGUCUGGCAAGGUGUAUUUGAGAAAGAAAGGAAUCUUCGCAAUCGACGGAAAGAGAAGAGGAAGCAACAAAGCAAGGACAAACUCCACAGGAUGAGGAGAAAACGCCACCAAAAGGUAAUAGGGAGGUAUGUAAAGCCCCCACCAGAGGAGAUAGAAAAUUCAAACUCAACAAUGUUAAAGUCUUUGUUUUUGUAGAAUUAAAUUCGUUUUUUGGGAGUUGGGCAGCCUUGGAAUUGGUAGGGUUAAUUUGAUAAUUCUUUCAUUGUUAAUUUUUCCCUCAUCAGUUCUUAUUUUGUAUGCGAGGGGUUUGUAUGUAACUAACUGCAUGCUUAUAAAUACUGAAGAAUGUCUCAAUUUUAUACUAGCUUUCUUGUUCUUUUAAUUUCUUCUUGAACUUCA
rnacentral:misc_RNA from 1 species